UGGGUCGGCUGGACGGUCGCGUCACGGGGUCGCCCGUGCCGAGGAACGUCCGGGCUCCACAGGGCAGGACGGUGGGUAACACCCACCCGGAGCAAUCCGCGAGACAGUGCCACAGAGAGCAGACCGCCCGCCUCGCGCGGGUAAGGGUGAAAGGGUGGUGUAAGAGACCACCGGGGGUCGUGGUGACACGAUCCGCCAGGUAAACCUCGUCCGGAGCAAGGCCAGACAGGGGAUGCAGACGCGGCUCGCCGAGUCCCCGGGUAGGCCGCUGGAGCGGCACGGCAACGUGUCGCCGAGAGAGAUGACCGUCCACGGGGCUCACGCCCCCGGACAGAACCCGGCGUACAGGCCGGCCCAUUCG
rnacentral:RNase_P_RNA from 1 species